rfam:Schistosoma mansoni strain Puerto Rico chromosome W, complete genome
AUCCAGCUGACGAGUCCUAAAUAGGACGAAAUGCUCGUCCUAGAU